UUACCCGCUGAACUUAAGCAUAUCAAUAAGCGGAGGAAAAGAAAAUAACAAUGAUUUCCCUAGUAACGGCGAGUGAAGAGGAAAGAGCUCAAAGUUGGAACCUGUUUGGCCUAGCUAAACAGGAUUGUAAACUGUAGAAGUGUUUUCCAGGCAAUCCGAGUUAAUAAGUCCUUUGGAACAGGGCAUCAUAGAGGGUGAGAAUCCCGUCUUUGAUUCGAGAUAUUUUGUCUUUUGCGAUACACUUUCAAAGAGUCAGGUUGUUUGGGAAUGCAGCCUAAAUUGGGUGGUAAAUCUCACCUAAAGCUAAAUAUUGGCGAGAAACCGAUAGCGAACAAGUACCGUGAGGGAAAGAUGAAAAGAACUUUGAAAAGAGAGUUAAACAGUAUGUGAAAUUGUUAAAAGGGAACCGUUUGGAGCCAGACUGGCUUGUCUGUAAUCAAUCUAGGUUUCGUGCCUGGAUGCACUUGCAGACUAUUUGCCUGCCAACGACAAUUUUUUUUGAGUGUAAAAACUAUUGGAAAUGUGGCCAAUAUUUAUUUAUUGGUGUUAUAGUCCUUUAGAAAAUACCUUGAAUUGGAUUGAGGAACGCAGCGAAUGCUUCUCUUUUGAGGCAAAGUCUUUUAUUGGGAUUUACGGAUCAGACUGUGGCAUUGUCACAAGACU
rnacentral:rRNA from 1 species